rnacentral:rRNA from 1 species
GAUGAACGCUGGCGGCGUGCUUAACACAUGCAAGUCGAGCGAAGCACUAAAGCGGAUUUCUUCGGAUUGAAGGUUUAGUGACUGAGCGGCGGACGGGUGAGUAACGCGUGGGUAACCUSCCUCAUACAGGGGGAUAACAGUUGGAAACGGCUGMUAAUWCCGCAUAAGCGCACAGUACCGCAUGGUACGGUGUGAAAAACUCCGGUGGUAUGAGAUGGACCCGCGUCUGAUUAGGUAGUUGGUGGGGUAACGGCCUACCAAGCCGACGAUCAGUAGCCGACCUGAGAGGGUGACCGGCCACAUUGGGACUGAGACACGGCCCAAACUCCUACGGGAGGCAGCAGUGGGGAAUAUUGCACAAUGGGGGAAACCCKGAKGCAGCGACGCCGCGUGAGCGAAGAAGUAUUUCGGUAU